GGCCAGACUCCUACGGGAGGCAGCAGCGGGGAAUAUUGCACAAUGGGGGAAACCCUGAUGCAGCAACGCCGCGUGAGUGAAGAAGUCUUUCGGUAUGUAAAGCUCUCUCAGCAGGGAAGAAGAGAGACGGUACCUGACUAAGAAGCCCCGGCUAACUACGUGCCAGCAGCCGCGGUAAUACGUAGGGGGCAAGCGUUAUCCGGAUUUACUGGGUGUAAAGGGAGCGUAGACGGCUUGAUAAGUCUGAAGUGAAAGGCCGAGGCUUAACCAUGGAACUGCUUUGGAGACUAUGAGGCUAGAGUGCUGGAGAGGUAAGCGGAAUUCCUAGUGUAGCGGUGAAAUGCGUAGAUAUUAGGAGGAACACCAGUGGCGAAGGCGGCUUACUGGACAGAAACUGACGUUGAGGCUCGAAAGGGUGG
rnacentral:rRNA from 1 species